AAACUAGGAUUAGAUACCCUAUUAUUUUAAGCUUUAUGUUGUUAGUAGAUAUAAAUUAUGAAAUCAUAAGAUUUUGGCGGUAUUUUAAGCUUUUUAGAGGAAUUUGCUCUGUAAUGGAUAAAACGCCUAUAUCUUACUUAAUUUUGUUAGGCAGUUUGUAUACCCCUAUAUUUAAUUAUAUUGAAUAGUUGUAUUUAAGAUUUUUUUAUAAAAAAAUUAUAUUAAGUCAAGGUGCAACAUAAAAUUAUGAAUGAAGUGAAUUACAUUGAUUUUGAUUAAUUUUAAAAUGAAAAUUAAAAUUUGGAUUUAAAAGUAAAUUGUUAAUAUAAUGAACAAUUGAAAUAAGCUCUAGAAUAUGCACAUAUCGCCCGUCGCUCUCAGCCGUGAGAUAAGUCGUAACAUAG
rnacentral:rRNA from 1 species